AACGAACGCUGGCGGCAGGCUUAACACAUGCAAGUCGAACGCCCCGCAAGGGGAGUGGCAGACGGGUGAGUAACGCGUGGGAAUCUACCUAGUUCUACGGAACAACAGUUGGAAACGACUGCUAAUACCGUAUACGACCUACGGGGGAACGAUUUAUCGGAAUUAGAUGAGCCCGCGUAAGAUUCGCUAGUUGGUGGGGUAAUGGCCUACCAAGGCGACGAUCUUUAGCUGGUCUGAGAGGAUGAUCAGCCACACUGGGACUGAGACACGGCCCAGACUCCUACGGGAGGCAGCAGUGGGGAAUAUUGGACAAUGGGCGCAAGCCUGAUCCAGCCAUGCCGCGUGAGUGAUGAAGGCCUUAGGGUUGUAAAGCUCUUUCACCGAUGAAGAUAGUGACGGUAGUCGGAGAAGAAGCCCCGGCUAACUUCGUGCCUGCCGCCGCCGUAAGAC
rnacentral:rRNA from 1 species